rnacentral:rRNA from 1 species
UUACACAUGCAAGUCGACGAUGAACCACCUUCGGGUGGGGAUUAGUGGCGAACGGGUGAGUAACACGUGGGCAAUCUGCCCUGCACUCUGGGACAAGCCCUGGAAACGGGGUCUAAUACCGGAUACUGACCUGCCAAGGCAUCUUGGCGGGUCGAAAGCUCCGGCGGUGCAGGAUGAGCCCGCGGCCUAUCAGCUUGUUGGUGAGGUAAUGGCUCACCAAGGCGACGACGGGUAGCCGGCCUGAGAGGGCGACCGGCCACACUGGGACUGAGACACGGCCCAGACUCCUACGGGAGGCAGCAGUGGGGAAUAUUGCACAAUGGGCGCAAGCCUGAUGCAGCGACGCCGCGUGAGGGAUGACGGCCUUCGGGUUGUAAACCUCUUUCAGCAGGGAAGAAGCGAAAGUGACGGUACCUGCAGAAGAAGCGCCGGCUAACUACGUGCCAGCAGCCGCGGUAAUACGUAGGGCGCAAGCGUUGUCCGGAAUUAUUGGGCGUAAAGAGCUCGUAGGCGGCUUGUCGCGUCGGUUGUGAAAGCCCGGGGCUUAACCCCGGGUCUGCAGUCGAUACGGGCAGGCUAGAGUUCGGUAGGGGAGAUCGGAAUUCCUGGUGUAGCGGUGAAAUGCGCAGAUAUCAGGAGGAACACCGGUGGCGAAGGCGGAUCUCUGGGCCGAUACUGACGCUGAGGAGCGAAAGCGUGGGGAGCGAACAGGAUUAGAUACCCUGGUAGUCCACGCCGUAAACGGUGGGCACUAGGUGUGGGCAACAUUCCACGUUGUCCGUGCCGCAGCUAACGCA